GGCUGCUGCUUACCGCGCCGGACGCCGGGGCUGCGGGACAGGGCAGCACUGCGCGACCACGGUGACUCCGGCGCUGAGGGACACCGCAGCAUGAGGCAGAGGUCUCUGUGUUUACUGGAGUCCGCAGGCUCGGGGCCGAGGCUCCGUCGGGUCCUUCCUCCGCGACCCGGCCCCCGGGGCCUCCCCGUCCCGCUGCCCCGGCCUGGCGCUGGCGUGUGCCAAGGGUGGGCUCCUGCGACCCUGGCAGGUAGGUGGCUGAGAGGACCCUGGCGCGCCUUUCGAUUUGUGGGGGCGGUGGGUGCGGCCGGGCAAUGGCAGCCGCCUGCGCCUCUGGUCUCAGUGACACCCCUUCCCUAGCUGCCUUCCGAGGGGACCGCACUCUUGGAGGUCUCCGGGGCACACUGGAAAUUCCCAACUUAAAAACCACCUUGAGGAGCCCUACACGGAGCCGGGCUUGCCUGGCCUAGCAGAAAGCCAGCUGCAGCCAGAGCCUCCGCCUGGCAUGGGGCACUGGUGGGCCGCCACCCCACGUGCUCAGUGAUUAGCGGGGAAGAAGGGGUCUGGCAGGCCCCUCAGGCAAGGCCUCUGUGCCGCAUCCCGUUAAGGGGCGGGGACCAGCCCCAUAUCUUGGCUGAUUUUCCUGACUCUGAAUGCAGAGAAAGUAUGUCCAAGAGUUCAAACCACAUUUGUGUUCUUUUAAUGGUGUUUAGUGCAGAUGUUAACUGUGAUUUAUGUGAAACGGGUUGAUGCAGAGGAAUGAAGGUCAACUGUGGACAGGUGGACAGCUUUUGUUUGUUUGCCUUUUCCCUAAGCUUGUUUUUAGUGGGAUGUGCAUGGAGAGGAUGACAUUUGAAUAUCGGGCCACCAAUGUGUAUUUGGCCCCAUCUGACACUUUGCUCCAUAGACAGUCGUUGUACCCCAGGGAUGAGGAUGAACUAGGUUCUAAGCUGAGAAAGACAUCUUCCUACAGUCGCUGCCGCCUGCGGGAAAGCUCCGCCUUCUGGUUCCCUGGCCGCGGACAGGCCAGUUCACUGUGGUUGCCUUCUCCCGUGAGCACCUCUCUGCAGCCCUCUCAGGGGAUGCCGUUCAUUCCGUAUGUGAUUGCCAGAUGUACUUCUCAGGUCAGAAGCCCGGCCCCAGAUUGUUCGAGUCCUAUAGUGAGUUCUUCUUGUGCUCCAGGCUUUAAAAGUUUUAAGUCUUUUUGAUAGUGUAUUCAAUAGCAUGAGCCAAUUGUAUAGUUAUAGGAAAGACAUGGUUUGGGUGUUCCUCCUGUAAAGGAUGUUUCGGAACUUAGAUCUAGUUCCUCCGUCAAGGCUGUUUAUUUGUGUUUACGACGCUAACAUUUGAAACGUCUUAAGCUUGACCGCAUAUUGUGAUUCUUCCCCCCACCCCCCGACCUGGGAUGAUCCUGUUCCGUGAUGGUUAUUCCAUGGUGUUACUAGGUGUGGAAGAGAAAAUGGGCUUUGGAAAUAAUGUGCGUGAUGAACUUAGCACAGUCCUUGGCACAUAGCAGAUGUUCAACAAGGUCAUUUUUCCUCUCUUCCUUGGGUUUGAGAGACCUGGGGAUGAUGAAAUCGGAUGCAGUUUUGGUUGCAUGCCUGUUUUUAAAUUAGGGAGUUGAGGUGCCCCCCAUUCCUCCUCCCACUCAAACUCCCAGCUCUUCAGACAUUUCCGUGGUAGAUUAAAAAUGAAACUCACGUCUUGGACCUA
ensembl:lncRNA